UACGUAGGGUGCGAGCGUUGUCCGGAAUUAUUGGGCGUAAAGGGCUCGUAGGCGGUCUGUUAAGUGGGAUGUGAAAUCCCCGGGCUUAACCUGGGAAUUGCAUUUCAAACUGGCCGACUAGAGUACGGUAGAGGGAGGUAGAAUUUCCUGUGUAGCGGUGAAAUGCGUAGAUAUAGGAAGGAAUACCAGUGGCGAAGGCGGCCUCCUGGAUCGAUACUGACGC
rnacentral:rRNA from 1 species